GAUGGUCAGCAGAAGCCGCGGGGCGCUGGCGGGGCGCGGCGGCGCGGCCCCUGACCGCGGUGUCCUGUUGCAGUGGCCGGAGGCUGGGAGACUCAGUACACGUGCUGCUCGGCUGCCAUCGGCUCCGGCGGCUGCCAGGUCGCCAAGCAACACGUGCAGGACGGCCGCAAGGACAACCUCGAGGGCUUCGUGA
rnacentral:lncRNA from 1 species